rnacentral:rRNA from 1 species
CCUACGGGGGGCAGCAGUGAGGAAUAUUGGUCAAUGGGCGCUAGCCUGAACCAGCCAAGUAGCGUGAAGGAUGACUGCCCUACGGGUUGUAAACUUCUUUUAUAUGGGAAUAAAGUGCAGCAUGUAUACUUUUUUGCAUGUACUUUAUGAAUAAGGAUCGGCUAACUCCGUGCCAGCAGCCGCGGUAAUACGGAGGAUCCGAGCGUUAUCCGGAUUUAUUGGGUUUAAAGGGAGCGUAGGCGGGUUGUUAAGUCAGUUGUGAAAGUUUGCGGCUCAACCGUAAAAUUGCAGUUGAUACUGGCAGACUUGAGUACAGUAGAGGUAGGCGGAAUUCGUGGUGUAGCGGUGAAAUGCUUAGAUAUCACGAAGAACUCCGAUUGCGAAGGCAGCUUACUAAACUGUAACUGACACUGAUGCUCGAAAGUGUGGGUAUCAAACAGGAUUAGAUACCCUGGUAGUC